rnacentral:lncRNA from 1 species
AUAGAUCGGAUUUCUUAGCCACUUUUCCUUUGCCUUCAUUUGUACUUAUGGUUACAACUCGUUUUUAUGAUAUUUCUCUUGUGGUUAUUCUUGUGGAGGUUGAAGGUAGAGGUGGAGAUGAAUAAGUUAGAGUCAACGAAUCAAGACUUUGCAGAAAAAUCCCACCAUCAAAACCAUUUUAUCGACACAGAGAGAGAGAGAGGAAGAAGGUGAUGAAAAAGAAAAAAACAAUUUUAUUAAUAAAAAAGGUAUGGCUGUAAAUAAAAGAAAGAAAGAGAUAUUGUACCUUUGAAAUAUUUUAAACUAAUUAAAUCUCUUUUCACACACCACAAAAGGUGAAUGUCGUUAGGGGUUAGUGCUGUCAUUUUACUUCCACAAACUACCUCAGUAGUUCAAUGUGUCUGAUUGUGUAAUAAAAAGACAGAAAGUGUCUAUUUAUGUUAAUAACUCUAAAAAAAAAGAUCUAUCAAAAAAAAAAAAUUUUGAUUUGUUGGCUAGGUGGUGGAAGAGAAAUCCUGCUGGCUGAGGAGUAAUCCAACAUUGGAGUGGUUAGUAAAAAUUUCAAAAUCAAUUCUCUUAUCUUUCUAUCUUGUGUUUCAUCUCUUGCUUGCUUGGAGAAAUCCAUUGGGUUACUUGAUUUGUUCUCUUAGAACUUUGAGAAAAGACUCUUGAGUGACC